rnacentral:hammerhead_ribozyme from 1 species
AUCUAGUGGCUGACGAGUCCCAAAUAGGACGAAAUGCGCAUCCUAGAU